rnacentral:rRNA from 1 species
UACGAAGGGUGCUAGCGUUGUUCGGAAUCACUGGGCGUAAAGCGCGCGUAGGCGGCUUAUCAAGUCGGGGGUGAAAUCCCGAGGCUUAACCUCAGAAUUGCCUUCGAAACUGAUAGGCUUGAGUGUCGGAGGGGAUAGCGGAAUUGCUAAUGUAGAGGUGAAAUUCGUAGAUAUUAGCAGGAACACCGGUGGCGAAGGCGGCUAUCUGGACGACAACUGACGCUGAGGCGCGAAAGCGUGGGGAUCAAACAGG